AACGAACGCUGGCGGCAUGCCUAACACAUGCAAGUCGAACGAGACCUUCGGGUCUAGUGGCGCACGGGUGCGUAACGCGUGGGAACCUGCCCUUAGGUUCGGAAUAACUCCCCGAAAGGGGUGCUAAUACCGGAUAAUGUCUUCGGACCAAAGAUUUAUCGCCUUUGGAUGGGCCCGCGUUGGAUUAGCUAGUUGGUAGGGUAAAAGCCUACCAAGGCGACGAUCCAUAGCUGGUCUGAGAGGAUGAUCAGCCACACUGGGACUGAGACACGGCCCAGACUCGUAGGGGAGGGGGCAGGGGGGGAUGGUGGAGAGGGGGCGAAAGCCUGAUCCAGCAAUGCCGCGUGAGUGAUGAAGGCCUUAGGGUUGUAAAGCUCUUUUACCCGGGAUGAUAAUGACAGUACCGGGAGAAUAAGCUCCGGCUAACUCCGUG
rnacentral:rRNA from 1 species